rnacentral:rRNA from 1 species
GAUGAACGCUGGCGGCGUGCCUAAUACAUGCAAGUCGAGCGAACAGACGAGGAGCUUGCUCCUCUGACGUUAGCGGCGGACGUGUGAGUAACACGUGGAUAACCUACCUAUAAUACUGGGAUAACUUCGGGAAACCGGAGCUAAUACCGGAUAAUAUAUUGAACCGCAUGGUUCAAUAGUGAAAGACGGUUUUGCUGUCACUUAUAGAUGGAUCCGCGCCGCAUUAGCUAGUUGGUAAGUUAACGGCUUACCAAGGCGACGAUGCGUAGCCGACCUGCGAGGGUGAUAGGCCACACGGGAGCUGGGCCACGGUCAUGACUCCUACGAGAGGCAGCAGUAGGGAAUCUUACGCAAUGGGCGAGAGUAUGACGGAGCAACGGCAAGUGAGAGAUGACGGUGUUCGGAUCGUAAAGAUGUGUUAUUAGGGAAGAACAAAUGUGUAAGUAACUAUGGACGUAUUGACGGUACCUAAUAAGAAAGCACCGGCUAACUACGUG